rnacentral:rRNA from 1 species
AUCCAGACUCCUACGGGAGGCAGCAGUGGGGGAUAUUGCACAAUGGGGGGAACCCCGAUGCAGCGACGCCGCGUGGGUGAAGGAGCGUUUCGGCGCGUAAAGCCCUAUCGGCAGGGAAGAAGGAGGACGGUACCUGACUAAGAAGCCCCGGCUAACUACGUGCCAGCAGCCGCGGUAAUACGUAGGGGGCAAGCGUUAUCCGGAUUUACUGGGUGUAAAGGGAGCGUAGACGGCAGUGCAAGUCUGAAGUGAAAGGCAAGGGCUCAACCCUUGGACUGCUUUGGAAACUGUGCUGCUGGAGUGUCGGAGAGGCAAGUGGAAUUCCUAGUGUAGCGGUGAAAUGCGUAGAUAUUAGGAGGAACACCAGUGGCGAAGGCGGCUUGCUGGACGAUGACUGACGUUGAGGCUCGAAAGCGUGGGGAGCAAACAGGAUUAGAUACCCGCGUAG